AGACCACCAACCGAAUAAAGAAGUAUGUCGAAGAGUUCCUCAACCUUGCCCAUCUGGUGCCCUGGAACGAGGGGACACUCAAGACUGUCUUCUGGACGGGUUUGGACAACUAUUAUUUUAGCAAGAAACAGAUGAGACUUGUGCAGAAGAGAUCACUUACACUGAUCCAGUGUUCUACAAAAGAAACGCAAAUAAAUUAAAAGUUGAAGAGCAUGAUCAUGUGGAUUAUGCACCUCUCACAAUAAGAUGAACAAAAAGGUGUUUUUCUAAGUACAAAAUCCAACUGUGUGACCUGUGAC